rnacentral:lncRNA from 1 species
AGAAAAGCCCCUCUGAGGAAGUGACAUUUAAAUGGAAGUCUAAUUAAAUUACUCUAGGAAGAGGACACAGCAAGUACAAACGUAUGACUUGAGAGAAGUCAGAAGACCAGUACAGGUGUCACCGGACUAAAACUGGAGUAUCAGCAGGCAUUCCCUUCUGGAGGCUUAAGGGCAGAAUCCAUUUCCUUGCAUUUUCCAGCUUCUAGAGGCAUCUCCCUGGUCCUUGCAUACUGUCGCCAACAUUUCAGAACUGGCAAUAGGACAAAAUGCUUUAUCACAAGAAGGAUAUGUACCUGGAUCCAGCAGAGUAAGAUGUAAUUCUCAGAUUUCUAUUAAAACUAUUUGGGGAAGACACAAAGCUCUCUUUCCAUUAAAAUUGCCAAGCUUUUACGAUAAGAGUCUGGGACUGCCAGAAUCCAGCCAGUUAUGUUACGUGGAAGUUAUGUGCCUGUGAAUUCGGCCAAUAUGGAAAAAAUUAGAGGCAAGAGAUGGAGAGUCAAUGUCCUUUGAGAACCUGGAUCAAGUCACACCUGAGUUGCCCACCACUGGAUGAAGGAAUCCCAUAUCUCAACUCGUUUGGUAUGUAUGGAACAUAAAAAGAAAAAAAGAGAGAAACUCAUCAAGUGGAAGAACGGGAUGAGGAAAAGGUUUACUCAGGGAGGCUGCAUGGGGAAGAAAGGGCAGCCAAAGAUGAAACUCUGUGGACAAUAUGGUGCAACAGAGAUCUGGCUGGCAGUUCUCCUUACUCUUUCUUAUGUGACAACCAUCUUUUCACCAUGAGGCAAUAAGGUAAAUAUAUCAAGGAUGAAAUAAUGUAAAGAUACAAGGAAUUCUUGAUGGCAUUGUUGAACAGCCACACCAAAUGUGUCAGCCAUUGUAGAAAAGCUCAAGAAGUCCACAUAAAUGUUUCUAAAUUAAUCAGACAGUACUGGAUUCCAGUGAAGAAGAAACUAAGAGUAUAUGAUGUCAUCAUAUAGCAAUAAAACCAAUUCACCUGUGAAGCUUAUGAAGACAGGUUGAGUCCUGAAAGAUGAGAGAGAGCCAGCAUGUGAACGGCAAUGAGGACCAAGUUGCUGGCAGGAAAAAAACAAGUGCAAAACUCAGAAGCAUCAGACAGCUUGGCAAAUGGUAGAAGAAUAUAUAGGCAGGUUUUGGGGGAAGGUCAUCAAGAAGACAAGACCACCAGUUGACCUGCGAGCUGGACCUAACAAUUGGGAGACCCCCACCCGCUUCCCGUCUUUGGAAUGUGCAUUGCCUUCCCUACUCUCAGAAGCUGCCCUAAGGUACAGCCCUGAGAUAGCAAUGUGGUAAUGAGGCUAUCUGGACUGGGUGCAUGACUAAACCCUCCCAGGGCCCGUGUAUACGUGACUGAAUCCAGCUAAGGCCUCUAUAAACUUUUAAGAUUUGGAAGGUGGGUGCGGAAAACUACUUGUAUUGCAGCUGCCCAGACAAGUCUUGUAAGUUCCUUGGUCAUUAAAAC